UCCCAGGAUUAGGGUUUCAGUAAGUUAAGGCUUAAAAGGUUACAAAGUAAGAUAAUAUUUUCAAAUUUGAAAACAUUGAAAUUCCAUUGAAUUCAAGAAGAAUUUAUUUUUUGGUCAAAUGACCGUCACACGAUGUCAGACAAGAAGAAAGUGAUGGAUGACCAGGAGUUAGAGAGGUUGGCCACAGAAGAAUUGCUCAAAGAGGCUGAACAGUUGAAAAAGAUUGCGGAAAAGGAAGGCCCAUCUGUCUGGAAGUCG